GUUCGUAGGUGACCUGCGGAGGAUCAUUACAAGAAUCGAGGCUAACGCGCCUGCCGGGGCUUUGUGCGCCCGUGCUAGGUUGCGUGCGGCCCCGCUCCUUACCUUGCCUACUGCACCGUUCGUUGCUUCCUGGCGGUGGAACGCCGCCGCCAGGGACCUUCUAAAAGUCUUGUAUAGAAGCAUUGAAACCCCUGAUAUACACUAAAUCGUACAACUUUCAACAAUGGAUCUCUUGGUUCUGGCAUCGAUGAAGAACGCAGCGAAAUGCGAUAAGUAGUGUGAAUUGCAGAAUUCAGUGAAUCAUCGAAUCUUUGAACGCACAUUGCGCCCCUUGGUAUUCCAUGGGGCAUGCCUGUUCGAGCGUCAUCUGAACCCUCAAGCUCCGCUUGGUGUUGGGCGUCUGUCCCGCUUCGCGCGCGGACUCGCCCCAAAGGUAUUGGCAGCGGUCGUGCCAGCUUCUCGCGCAGCACAUUGCGCUUCUCGAGGCACCGGCGGGCCCGCGUCCAUCAAGCUCACCCCCCCAGUUUGACCUCGGAUCAGGUAGGGAUACCCGCUGAACUUAAGCAUAUCAAUAAGCGGAGGA
rnacentral:rRNA from 1 species